rnacentral:rRNA from 1 species
CCUACGGGAGGCAGCAGUGGGGGAUAUUGCACAAUGGGGGAAACCCUGAUGCAGCGACGCCGCGUGGGUGAAGAAGCGCCUCGGCGCGUAAAGCCCUGUCAGCAGGGAAGAAAAUGACGGUUCCUGAAGAAGAAGCCCCGGCUAACUACGUGCCAGCAGCCGCGGUAAUACGUAGGGGGCAAGCGUGAUCCGGAUUUACUGGGUGUAAAGGGGGCGCAGACGGCGAUGCAAGCCAGGAGUGAAAGCCCGGGGCCCAACCCCGGGACUGCUCUUGGAACUGCGUGGCUAGAGUGCAGGAGGGGCAGGCGGAAUUCCUGGUGUAGCGGUGAAAUGCGUAGAUAUCAGGAGGAACACCGGUGGCGAAGGCGGCCUGCUGGACUGCAACUGACGUUGAGGCCCGAAAGCGUGGGGAGCAAACAGGAUUAGAUACCCCAGUAGUC